UCUUGGUCAUUUAGAGGAAGUAAAAGUCGUAACAAGGUCUCCGUUGGUGAACCAGCGGAGGGAUCAUUACCGAGUUUUCAACUCCCAAACCCACUGUGAACAUAUACCAUUUGUUUAUUCGUUGCCUCGGCGGGUUCUACUCCCUGGAGACAGGGGGCCAGCCCCCGCCGGUGUAACACCCAAAACCCUGAAUGUGUACCCGUUACACGGCAGUAUUACUCUGAGUCACAUCAUUUUAAAUGAAUCAAAACUUUCAACAACGGAUCUCUUGGUUCUGGCAUCGAUGAAGAACGCAGCGAAAUGCGAUAAGUAAUGUGAAUUGCAGAAUUCAGUGAAUCAUCGAAUCUUUGAACGCACAUUGCGCCCGCCAGUAUUCUGGCGGGCAUGCCUGUUCGAGCGUCAUUUCAACCCUCAGGUCCCCCUUUUCGGAGGGGGAGACACCCUGGUGUUGGGGGACGGCAUCCCGGCCCGCUGUCUCAGUGUGCCACGCCGCCCCCGAAAUGAAUUGGCGGCCUCGUCGCGUGCCACCCCUGCGUAGUAGCACAACCUCGCAACGGGAGCCCGACGCGGCCACUGCCGUAAAACGCCCAACUUUUACAGAGUUGACCUCGAAUCAGGUAGGAAUACCCGCUGAACUUAAGCA
rnacentral:rRNA from 1 species